rnacentral:tRNA from 1 species
GGGGUUGUAGCUCAGUGGCUCAGUGCUUGCCUUGCAUGCAUGAGGCACUGAGUUCAAUCCUCAGCACCA